ACCAUAUCACAUUGAAACAUUAGUUCUCAUACAAUCACUAAAGUUAAGUAAUGUCAAGCCUGGUCAGUACCUAGAUGGGUGACCGCUUAGGAAUAUCAGGUGCUGUAAGC